rnacentral:tRNA from 2 species
GCGUCGGUGGUUCAGUGGUAGAAUACUCGCCUGCCACGCGGGUGACCCAGGUUCGAUUCCCGGCCGACGCA